AAUUUACAACUAUAAAUAUGUGAGUUUCUACCUUUGAAUUCAUCAAUUCAUUUUUUUUUCUCAAAUCAUAAACAUUUUAUAAAAUUUCCCGAGAUCGAUUUGGCUAGUUACUACAAAUAAUUAGAGAGUUUUCACAGAGUAGAUAAUCGACAGAGAGAGAAACAGAUCUAAGAUUAACCUCAGUGGCAAGCUACUCGAGAACGGUGGGAAGGUUAUACAAGAGCACCAGAUGGUCCAGAUCGACACACCUGAUCGCACAACGGGAAACUGGAGACCAGCCUUGACCGACUUGGAAAACCUCUCCUUCCUCCUGCACCUCUCGCCGUCUUUGUCACUGCCGGUGACUCCAUCGAAACCAAACAGAUUCUUAACAACCACAAUUACUUUCUUUUUUCCUGUUUUCUGGUGGUUCACGAUUUGCAUAAUAUGAGAUUUUGUUUUGAUUCAACGAUUAUUCUUUCAUCUGUUUGUAUUUCUUUUGUUUUGAUCCAGCGGUGAUUCUUACACAAUGUUAAUGGACGUAUUAAACAUGGGGGAGCUGAAAAGAAAGAAGAGAUAUAAAAUAGGAGUAAUCUUAACCAUUGGAUUCAACUCCACGUUAAAGAAUCUUUAAUUAAUUAAUCCGAAGCUUAAAAUCACCAUCAAUGCUUACUAACAUUUAGUUACGAAGACAAAAAUAUCAAAAGUUUCCCCAAGUAACGACUUUUCACAACGUUACUUUCAUUAAUCGUUAGAUUUGGUCACAUUCUCACGGGAUUGGCAUUUUUGAACAUUUUUAAUUGAAACUUCAUAAAAUACAAUAAAUACUAUUUUUA
rnacentral:lncRNA from 1 species